rnacentral:rRNA from 1 species
CCUACGGGAGGCAGCAGUAAGGAAUAUUGGUCAAUGGGGGGAACCCUGAACCAGCCAUGCCGCGUGCAGGAAGACGGCCCUACGGGUUGUAAACUGCUUUUGUACGGGAAUAACCCGCCAUACGUGUAUGGCGCUGAAGGUACCGUAAGAAUAAGGAUCGGCUAACUCCGUGCCAGCAGCCGCGGUAAUACGGAGGAUCCGAGCGUUAUCCGGAAUUAUUGGGUUUAAAGGGUGCGUAGGCGGCAUGCUAAGUCAGGGGUGAAAUACGGUGGCUCAACCAUCGCAGUGCCUUUGAUACUGGCGUGCUUGAAUUUACCUGAGGUAGGCGGAAUGUGGCAAGUAGCGGUGAAAUGCAUAGAUAUGCCACAGAACACCGAUUGCGAAGGCAGCUUACCAAAGUAGGAUUGACGCUGAGGCACGAAAGCGUGGGGAUCGAACAGGAUUAGAUACCCUGGUAGUCCACGCCCUAAACGAUGAACACUCGAUGUCGGCGAUAGACGGUCGGCGUCCAAGCGAAAGCGUUAAGUGUUCCACCUGGGGAGUACGCCCGCAAGGG